GGGCUUGUAGCUCAGUUGGUAGAGCGUUCGCUUAGCAUCGUAACAUGCGAGAGGUCCAGGGUUCGAUUCCCUGCAAGUCCA
rnacentral:tRNA from 1 species